rnacentral:rRNA from 1 species
CCUACGGGCGGCAGCAGUGGGGAAUAUUGGACAAUGGGCGAAAGCCUGAUCCAGCCAUGCCGCGUGUGUGAAGAAGGCCUUCGGGUUGUAAAGCACUUUCAGUGGGGAAGAAAGCCUUGGGGCUAAUACCCUCGAGGAAGGACAUCACCCACAGAAGAAGCACCGGCUAACUCCGUGCCAGCAGCCGCGGUAAUACGGAGGGUGCGAGCGUUAAUCGGAAUUACUGGGCGUAAAGCGCGCGUAGGCGGCUGAUAAGCCGGUUGUGAAAGCCCCGGGCUCAACCUGGGAACGGCAUCCGGAACUGUCAGGCUAGAGUGCAGGAGAGGAAGGUAGAAUUCCCGGUGUAGCGGUGAAAUGCGUAGAGAUCGGGAGGAAUACCAGUGGCGAAGGCGGCCUUCUGGACUGACACUGACGCUGAGGUGCGAAAGCGUGGGUAGCAAACAGGAUUAGAUACCCCAGUAGUC